rnacentral:rRNA from 2 species
CUUAAAAAACACGUCAAACGUGGCGGCGUGCCUAUACAUGCAGUCGAGCGAAUGGAUUAAGAGCUUGCUCUUAUGAAGUUAGCGGCGGACGGGUGAGUAACACGUGGGUAACCUGCCCAUAAGACUGGGAUAACUCCGGGAAACCGGGGCUAAUACCGGAUAACAUUUUGAACCGCAUGGUUCGAAAUUGAAAGGCGGCUUCGGCUGUCACUUAUGGAUGGACCCGCGUCGCAUUAGCUAGUUGGUGAGGUAACGGCUCACCAAGGCAACGAUGCGUAGCCGACCUGAGAGGGUGAUCGGCCACACUGGGACUGAGACACGGCCCAGACUCCUACGGGAGGCAGCAGUAGGGAAUCUUCCGCAAUGGACGAAAGUCUGACGGAGCAACGCCGCGUGAGUGAUGAAGGCUUUCGGGUCGUAAAACUCUGUUGUUAGGGAAGAACAAGUGCUAGUUGAAUAAGCUGGCACCUUGACGGUACCUAACCAGAAAGCCACGGCUAACUACGUGCCAGCAGCCGCGGUAAUACGUAGGUGGCAAGCGUUAUCCGGAAUUAUUGGGCGUAAAGCGCGCGCAGGUGGUUUCUUAAGUCUGAUGUGAAAGCCCACGGCUCAACCGUGGAGGGUCAUUGGAAACUGGGAGACUUGAGUGCAGAAG